CUGGAUGGACAUGGACACACCUGGAUGGGCAUGGACACACCUGGGGGAGUCACUGGGUGUGGUCCAGGUGUGCCCAGGUGUGCCCAGGUGUGCUGGUGCCGCUCCAGUCCCCACCCUGAGCUCACCUGGGCUCACCUGGGCGCACCUGGAUGGACAUGGACACACCUGCACACACCUGGAGGAGUCACCUGUGCGUUUAUGGGCGUGGCCCAGGUGUGUGAGCGAGCCCCAGGUGUGCUGGUGCCGCUCCAGUCCCCACCCUGAGCUCACCUGGGCUCACCUGGGCGCACCUGGAUGGACAUGGACACACCUGCACACACCUGGAGGAGUCACCUGUGCGUUUAUGGGCGUGGCCCAGGUGUGUGAGCGAGCCCCAGGUGUGCUGGUGCCGCUCCUGUCCCCACCCUGAGCUCACCUGGGCACACCUGGGCGCACCUGGAUGGACAUGGACACACCUGCACACACCUGGAGGAGUCACCUGUGCGUUUAUGGGCGUGGCCCAGGUGUGUGAGCGAGCCCCAGGUGUGCUGGUGCCACCCUGAGCUCACCUGGGCACACCUGGAUGGACGUGGCCACACCUGGGGGAGUCACUGGGUGUGGUCCAGGUGUGCUGGUGCCGCUCCUGUCCCCACCCUGAGCUCACCU
rnacentral:lncRNA from 12 species